UCUUAGCUGAAUGUCCCGCGGGGCCCGAAGCGUUUACUUUGAAAAAAUUGAGAGUGUUCAAAGCAGGCCAGAGCCGCGUGGAUACCGCAGCUAGG
rnacentral:miRNA from 1 species